rnacentral:rRNA from 1 species
GUGAGGAAUAUUGGUCAAUGGGUGGGAGCCUGAACCAGCCAAGUCGCGUGAAGGAAGAAGGAUCUAUGGUUCGUAAACUUCUUUUGCAGGGGAAUAAAGUGCAGGACGUGUCCUGUUUUGUAUGUACCCUGAGAAUAAGGAUCGGCUAACUCCGUGCCAGCAGCCGCGGUAAUACGGAGGAUCCGAGCGUUAUCCGGAUUUAUUGGGUUUAAAGGGUGCGUAGGUGGUUUGAUAAGUCAGCGGUGAAAGUUUGCAGCUUAACUGUAAAAAUGCCGUUGAAACUGUCGGACUUGAGUGUAAAUGAGGUAGGCGGAAUGCGUGGUGUAGCGGUGAAAUGCAUAGAUAUCACGCAGAACUCCGAUUGCGAAGGCAGCUUACUAAGCUACAACUGACACUGAAGCACGAAAGCGUGGGGAUCAAACAGGAUUAGAAACCCUGGUAGUCC